rnacentral:rRNA from 1 species
CCUACGGGAGGCAGCAGUGGGGAAUAUUGGACAAUGGGCGCAAGCCUGAUCCAGCAAUGCCGCGUGAGUGAUGAAGGCCUUAGGGUUGUAAAGCUCUUUUACCAGGGAUGAUAAUGACAGUACCUGGAGAAUAAGCUCCGGCUAACUCCGUGCCAGCAGCCGCGGUAAUACGGAGGGAGCUAGCGUUGUUCGGAAUUACUGGGCGUAAAGCGUACGUAGGCGGUUAUUCAAGUCAGAGGUGAAAGCCCGGGGCUCAACCCCGGAACUGCCUUUGAAACUAGGUAGCUAGAAUCUUGGAGAGGUCAGUGGAAUUCCGAGUGUAGAGGUGAAAUUCGUAGAUAUUCGGAAGAACACCAGUGGCGAAGGCGACUGACUGGACAAGUAUUGACGCUGAGGUACGAAAGCGUGGGGAGCAAACAGGAUUAGAUACCCUGGUAGUCCACGCCGUAAACGAUGAUAACUAGCUGUCCGGUCACUUGGUGACUGGGUGGCGCAGCUAACGCAUUAAGUUAUCCGCCUGGGGNGUACGGUCGCAAGAUUAAAACUUAAAGGAAUUGACGG